rnacentral:lncRNA from 1 species
CUUAAAAUUCUGUGUUGCUUAAUAAAGUAUAAACUUAAUUUUGAUUAUUAUGCAUGGCACAUAUUUUUCAUCCUUUAACAUUCACAUUUUCUAUGUUUUCUUUUUUUUUUUUUUUUUUUUUCUCCCAAGCACCACACCACAGCUCUCCUGCUAGGGGUGGGGUUCCUGUUUGUUACACUCAGCCAACUGGAGUUUGGAGACUGAUCGCUUAGGGGAUCUUUUUCUUUUUUCUUUUUUUCCUGUAAUGCAACAUCAUGUCAAAUGAAAAUAUUUUCUUUUAGACAUUGAAGAUCUUGCAGAUUAUGCUAGAGAAAUUCAAGGGAAUAGACAUUCAUUUCAAAUAUAAUACAUUCUAUUAUCUAUAAUACAUUCUAUUUUCUAUGUUUUUGUAUAGAAAAUAUAAGUAUAUCAAUGGGCAUUUGGGUUGAUUCCAGGUCUUUGCUAUUGUAAACAGUGCUGCAAUGAACAUUCGUGUACAUGUGUCCUUAUAGUAGAACGAUUUAUAGUCUUUUGGAUAUAUACCCAGUAAUGGGAUUGCUGGGUCAAAUGGAAUUUCUAUUUCUAAGGCCUUGAGGAAUCGCCACACCGUCUUCCACAAUGGUUGAACUAAUUUACACUCCCACCAACAGUGUAAAAGUGUUCCUUUUUCUCCACAUCCUCUCCAGCAUCUGUUGUCUCCAGAUUUUUUAAUGAUCGCCAUUCUAACUGGCGUGAGAUGGUAUCUCAAUGUGGUUUUGAUUUGCAUCUCUCUGAUGAUGAUGAGUUUGUGUCGUUUGUAGGGACGUGGAUGAAUCUGGAGAACGUCAUCCUCAGCAAACUGACACAAGAACAGAAAAUGAAACACCGCAUAUUCUCACUCAUAGAGGCAGGGUCUUGCUAUGUUGUCCAAGCUAGUCUUAAACUCCUGGGCUCAAGUGAUUCUUUGGCCACAACCCCCAAUUCCUGGGAUUAUAGAGGUAGAGUUUCAUUCUUGUUGCCCAGGCUGGAGUGCAAUGGAGUGAUCUCGGCUCACUGCAAACUCUGCCUCCAGGAACAAGCAAUCAUCCUGUUUUAGCCUCCAGAGUAGCUGGGAUAACAGACUACUCAUGAUAUAUACUCAGAUUCUACAAUCAAAUAUACUAUAUGCCAUGAUGUUAUAAGUUACUUCAACUUCAAAUUCAAAGUAAAUUAAAUAUCCCUUUUUAUAUAUCUCUCCAAGUGGUUAGAGUUCUUCUUUUGGUACUUACUGACUUUAUUCAAAUUAGAGUUCUUCUCAGCAAAGUAGCUGAGAAUAUCCAGAUUUUAUUUAUAAAAAGUAUUUCAGAUGUUAUAUUUCUUUUAUAACAUAAAAGUAAUCAAUAAGAGGAUGAGAAGAUUCACUGAAUACUGGAGGGAUUUGAAGGAAAGAUUCUGUUCCAUUCUCACUGCCAGAAGGUCAGAUUCAAUUGGAUGCCACACUUUUGUUUUUGCUGUUGUAACUCUGAAGUGGAAUUCUAAACAGCAAAGGAGACGAAAAAGAUUCACAAGAGUUCAAAAGGUUUUUAUGAAGAA